rnacentral:tRNA from 1 species
GGAGACGUGCCUGAGUGGCCGAAAGGAGCGGUUUGCUAAACCGUCGUACGUGUUAAAACGUACCCAGGGUUCGAAUCCCUGCGUCUCCG